AAAGUGCGAGUACUUCCUUAAAGUUACUUUGAAAGUUAAGCAGGCGCCCAGCCGUUUCUGCUGCGCUGGUAAAUCUGAGCUCCUGGGCUGCAAACUGCACGCACCGGUAAGCUUAGCUGGCAACCUGCCGGGAAAAUAUCUGAAGGAGAAAUGUGACGGGCACGCUUGUCAUUCUGCAACGUUUUACUAUUUUAGACCGGACUUUAUAAAUAUUACGAGCAUGAUCCGAACGGGACUCCCUGCCGGACCCUGAUCGAUCCAAGAUCCAAGGAACUUCCCAGUUUGUUACGCAAAAGCAGAUUUCCCUGCCAACGGCUCCCCCGAGAUGAAUGAACAUGAGCAGUGCUUGGAUGUCGAACUCUCCUGGGAUCCUUCUCUGCCUCCGUCGCCAGGCUCCUGGCUGAAGCGAUGCUUGCUGUAUUUCCGUACCUGCAGAGCCCCGGCGGGGCACCAGCAGAGCAGGGCUGUCACGGGGUGCGGCCAGCGCCUCUUGCUGAUCAUCAGCGUCCUGCUGUUUGUGUGUGUUGGUGUGCUGCUGCUGCUCUGGAACUAUCAGUGCAUCUUCGUCUGGGGCCUCUGUCGGGAGGAACAGCCUGCCGUCCCCGGGUUUGGGGGGCUCGAGGGCUUUGACAGAGAGGAGAUCAACUGAGGCGAAGAGUACUGUCAGGGAGCGGGGGACUUGGGGGGGGAGAGAUGGGGAGGUCUCCGUCUCAAGGUCAUACCAAAGGGGCUGCGUGGACUGCAUUCACUAUGCAGGCACAGGCCGGACUGCACGCCUGCGCAGGUGCAGAGGAGAUUGCGAGAGCAGUCUUGAGCCCAGGGAGGAGGGCUUCCUGCAAGCCACUACAUUCUCAUUGCAAAGCUGUGGGGAAACAAUAUGUAAUGAUCUGGCCUUUGAUUGUAUCCUGAUAGAUUAUUGGUAACAAGUGCUCCUUUCUGCUCAGGAUUUCCUUUAUUGUGCCUGAUAGAUAUGGUUUCAACAUCGGUAGGGACCAAAUUAGCCCCAAAAACUCCCUGCCCCCCUAAACACACAGGGUACUCUCCCGAUAUUGGUAGGGACACCUCUUUACUAUCCAAACCCAAAUCUGUGCCCUUGGCUUGAUGCAAUAUAUGACUUUGACUUUUGUAGGAUCUUGUAAUGCUGUCUCAUAGCUCAGAAAUCAUAGCUGCGAGUUAUAAGAACUGACAUCUGAUUCCUCUUCAUGUUAUUUGUAUGAUUCUUCAGAGAUUCAGGAUGUAUUUUAAUGGGCAUUUUUCUGUAAUUUAUGGUGCUUGCUGUAGUAGAAUCAGAUGCAAUUAUUCUGUUGAUUCCAGAAUGAAUUUAGGCACAACAUCUAUUCAUUUUAUAAGAAAGAUAAUAUAUAACCCAGUGUUCAUGCUUAUUGUAGUUGAAUAUUGUAUGUACAAACUCAAGAAAGUAAUAACUGUAAAAUGAUAUUGUUUUUUUCUUCAAGCUGUACGUGUGUGUAUAAAUAUAAACCCUAUAACCCUUAUUUACUGCUGUAAAAUCAUUGUAAUACCAUGAUGUGGUGAAAAAUGUUAACCAGAAAAAAAUCCAAAUAAAGUCAGCUCAUAGCGUAGACUGAAGAUGACUCACA